UCCGGUUUGGCACCGGCAGUCUCCCAUGAGUCCCCGGCAUGACCCGCUGGCAACAUGGGACAGGGGUUGCGCUCGUUGCGCCACUUAAGGCGACACCUCACGGCACGAGCUGACGACAGCCAUGCAGCACCUGUGCGGGCUCCCGUAGGAGGGCCGUGUUUCCACGGCUUCACCCCGCAUGUCAAGCCCUGGUAAGGUGGGGAUGACGUGUUCGGAUUCUAAG
rnacentral:misc_RNA from 1 species